GGGAGGGGCAUGUACCUGCAUUCCUGGCUGCCCAGCAAUUCAAAACAGUGGCCAGAGUGGUCACAGUGGGGCAUUGAGGGACAGCUCUCAGAGGAUACUCAAAUCAAUGGUCUGAGCAGCUGAGGGAGAGCAGCACCCCAUUCCUCUGAGGAAUUGCAAAACAGCUUGCAGAGCUAUUCUGUGCGCAAGUGGAGACCAUCAGUCGUGAUUUACUUCCAACACAUAUGAGGACAGCAGGAGGAGGAAAAAAGUGGUCCCCCC